rnacentral:rRNA from 1 species
AUGAAGGCCUUCGGGUCGUAAACCUCUUUCGAUCGGGAAAAUGGCGGGUGAUGAAUCCGUUCUGAUGGUACCGGAAGAAGAAGCCCGGCUAACUACGUGC